GUGCAGUAUGAUGGAGUUUACAGAAUUAAGAACUGUUAGAUAAAGAUUGGUGUUCAGGGCAGGAGCAUAGAUGGUGCACAGGAGAGCUGCCUUGUCAUUGAUAGAGGAAGUGUGAGAGCAUGCUAAUUGUGCAGGGAAGAGAAAUAAAAUGAAAACGAAAAUGAGAAACAAAAGAGAAGAAUGUUAUGAUCUCAUGAUAAUGUCGGCCACCAGCCAGCGCCCACAAGAGUAUACCUAUAGGCGGUCCAAAGGUUAUCUAGGUUGGUAAAAAGCAAGGCCGCCUCAUAGUUGAGGAAGAUGAUGUGCAACCAAUGAAGAAGAUAUAUUAGGAUGGAACUCGAGGCAUUUUGUGGAUUAGUAUCUAUAGUUUUUUGAUGCCUAUAAAGCAGAGCCAAGCCGCCGCCUCUCCGCCGAGAAAGAAGGAUCCCGAUCUCCGCCGUGGUCGACAAACAACGCGAGGGCAGAGCACCCAGCCCGUAGGCUCAUCCCCUUCUCCGAUCCACUCCGGCGGCGGGCAUCGUUGUCAAGGCAUCGGUUCAUGUGGUUUCCUGCUACUGGCAUAUGAAAGAGAUGCAGAUGAGAGGAAGAGAGCCUCCCCCAAGCUCUGUCUAGGCGAUGCACGGGCGACGGCCACCCUUCCUGUUAUUGCCUCCAUGGCUGGUUGUUCAUCCCCAGGAACCUCCUCCCCUCUCAUGUGCGCCACACUCUGGGAUUAAGGUC